UGGGCCUUCCUUUUACUCCCAAUAUAGCUAAAAAACAAUUUCUUGUUGUCCUUUACUUGGGAUGCCAUCCUCAGCUCCAUGGUAGCUUUGGCCCGUCUAACUGCCUCCCUACAAGCACGAGCAGAGGAGGUAUAUUCGUCUUUGGUAAUCUCUCCCCGUUUCCACUUUUUAUAUGCCCCCCCUUUUGGCCCGUAGGUUGCUCUGGAUUUCUCUGGUCAGCCAAGGAAGCCUCUUGGCCCCUUUCCCCCUUUUUUCCCACAUCGGGAUCGUCUCCCUCUGUGCCCAAAGGAUCAUUUCCUUAAGGCACAGCCACCCUUCCUGGGCUCCCAACUCUUUAAAACACUUACUCUGCAGUGCGGCCUUGACUAAUCACCUGAGUUCGUUGAGAUCAGCUUUCCUAACAUCUAGCACUUUCACUCUGCUAGUUACCUUUCCCGCUCAACGUCUUAUAAUGCCUUAGGCAGGGCUUGGACUCGAUAGGACCUCUGCAGCUCCCUGCCAGCCCCACAUCUCUGUGACUUUAAGGAAGCAGAUGCUACCAAAGAGGAAGGAAGGAGGCAGGCAAACCUCAGCCUGGAGCAGUUGGAGCCGGUGUCACAGGGGCCGGAGCCCCCGCUGCAAGACUGCUAACGUUCAAUUAUUUUCUUUUUUUUUAUAUUUUGGAAAACUUUUCAAGUACCAGGUCAAAUUAGCCAGAUCAAGUCCGAAUCCUGUGAAUCGUUCGAAAACCUUAAGCUAACUUGCAAUGACUGACUUCCAGCAGCUUUGGGAGCAGUCUUCUCCAGCCCUACAAGCCCAACCUGGCUGCAGGGCAUUUCAAAGCAAUGACAGUUUGCACUGGAUUGGGCCCUGCAAGCCCAGUUUGGUGCCAUUGUGGUAAAAAUAUAGCAUAAUCUAUAUUUUCCUGCUUUUAUAAUUGUUUCUGCAUAUUUUCAUAAUUGCUUUUGCUAAGGCAUAUAUGCUAAUGAUAGAUUUACGAGUAGCACAAAAACUCCUGCAGACAGAGCCAGGAACAGAUGCAAUAAAUAACUCCUUACGAGAGAUAAGAGAAGAGGGGCAGGGAAGAUGCUGAGGUGGAGAAACCAGACCCUGACCGAAGGAUGACCGUGAGGGGCUUAAGAACUGCCCCUGGGAGGGGAUUUAAGAUGUAAAUGAGACAUGUAUGUAAACCGUCAUAGAACAUGUAACUGCUAGACAUACGAUGCAAGACGUAAUGCUAAGUCUGCCAAUAAUUGCACGAUACGUUGAAAUCUAUUGUUUACCUUGGCUAUAAAAAGAAGUUUCAGACCCAGUUUGUUGUCGACCCUGAUCUGAGUGGCUCAACUCCUAGGUCGGUCUGUUUGCAAACAAUAAAUCUGAAAUUGGACCUAUCCUGUGUGUGACUCUCUCCUGGGGUGGAUUGGACAAGCCUCCAGGGGCACGAAACUAGCCGUUUGUACAACACCAUGGACAAGCCCCAUCCAGCAGCAGCUGCAAAAUUGAGAGAGAAAUCCUGGUACCCACUGCAUGAGCCAGGCCCUGCACGAAGGACUACAAUUCCCAGGCAUGCCCAGAGGAGAGCCGCAGCCGGACUCCAGCCCAGCUGCAUCCUGCCCUUCCCCAGCCCACUCUUUGUGGCUGAAGCUUGAACCCAGCAUUUACCUGCUCUGGGACCAGCCUUGCCUGUCUCACCCAGGCACAGCCCCACGUGUGCCUGCUGCCUGGGCUCCUUCCCUGGGUACCGCACCCCUGGGCGAGCGCCAUACUGACCGUGCAAACUAGGACAUGGCUGCUGGGAGCACGGGGGAUGCUGGAGAGGACUCAGCCUCCCACCCCCAGGAGAGUGCCCCUUAUCCCCCCUUUUGCUGCUGAGAAACCGGAGGAAGGCAAAGCAGAGAGAUGCCUGGAGGGUCCCAGCACAGUUGGACAAAGAGAACCUACAAAUGUGACUCAGAAAGAAGAGAAACCUGAAAACAGAGGUUACACAAUCAGAAACAACCGAUGAAGCUGGUGUGAAAGAAGCACAGAUGGAUGCUCAAGAUACUCGGGGAUGGUUACCAAUGUCGGAGGAAGAAGUGGAAGAGAUGGAAAAACCCUGCGAACCACAAUCUAAUGAUGUUGCAUUUCAAAAGCUGUACUUUUACAUGUUUGCAUUGCAUUUGGAGAGACUAACCUCCGAAGAUGACAUUAGCCCAAAGUGACACCUGCUUUCUGGACGUGUAGACCAAGGGAAGAUAGGCCAUCCAUCUCCGAUGUCAGUCUAGAGAGCAACAGACCAUCCCGAGACAGGAUCGGGAGCUUCAGCCACCGCCUGUUACUCUUGGACGUUAACGCUGCCUCUUUUCAGGACUUCUCUUUGUUUUUGUUUGGAAAAAAUGGCAGAAAUGGUGCUGUUAUUUGACUGACUUCCAUAGCCCAGCCUUCAAACAAGCUUCCAAAACUGGAGCAGUAUGCUUUGCAUAGUUAUAUGGCUAUAUUAAACUUAAUUUGACUUUCG